rnacentral:rRNA from 1 species
UACGUAGGUGGCAAGCGUUGUCCGGAAUUAUUGGGCGUAAAGCGCGCGCAGGCGGUCCUUUAAGUCUGAUGUGAAAGCCCUCGGCUCAACCGAGGAGGGUCAUUGGAAACUGGAGGACUUGAGUGCAGAAGAGGAAAGUGGAAUUCCAAGUGUAGCGGUGAAAUGCGUAGAGAUUUGGAGGAACACCAGUGGCGAAGGCGACUUUCUGGUCUGUAACUGACGCUGAGGUGCGAAAGCGUGGGGAGCAAACAGG